GACGAACGCUGGCGGCGUGCUUAACACAUGCAAGUCGAACGGAAAGGCCCUGCUUUUGUGGGGUGCUCGAGUGGCGAACGGGUGAGUAACACGUGAGUAACCUGCCCUUGGCUUUGGGAUAACUUCAGGAAACUGGGGCUAAUACCGGAUAGGAGCUCCGGCGGCAUGGUGGGGGUUGGAAAGUUUCGGCGGUUGGGGAUGGACUCGCGGCUUAUCAGCUUGUUGGUGGGGUAGUGGCUUACCAAGGCUUUGACGGGUAGCCGGCCUGAGAGGGUGACCGGCCACAUUGGGACUGAGAUACGGCCCAGACUCCUACGGGAGGCAGCAGUGGGGAAUAGUGCACAAUGGGCGGAAGCCUGAUGCAGCAACGCCGCGUGCGGGAUGACGGCCGUCGGGUUGUAAACCGCUUUCGCCUGUGACGAAGCGUGAGUGACGGUAAUGGGUAAAGAAGCACCGGCUAACUACGUG
rnacentral:rRNA from 1 species